rnacentral:rRNA from 1 species
GACGAACGCUGGCGGCGUGCCUAAUACAUGCAAGUCGAGCGCAGGAAGCCGUCUGAACCCUUCGGGGGGACGACGGUGGAAUGAGCGGCGGACGGGUGAGUGACACGUAAAGAACCUGCCCAUAGGUCUGGGAUAACCACGAGAAAUCGGGGCUAAUACCGGAUGUGUCAUCGGACCGCAUGGUCCGCUGAUGAAAGGCGCUCCGGCGUCGCCCAUGGAUGGCUUUGCGGUGCAUUAGCUAGUCGGUGGGGUAACGGCCCACCAAGGCGACGAUGCAUAGCCGACCUGAGAGGGUGAUCGGCCACACUGGGACUGAGACACGGCCCAGACUCCUACGGGAGGCAGCAGUAGGGAAUCUUCCACAAUGGACGAAAGUCUGAUGGAGCAACGCCGCGUGAACGAUGAAGGCUUUCGGGUCGUAAAGUUCUGUUGUAAGGGAAGAACAAGUGCCGCAGGCAAUGGCGGCACCUUGACGGUACCUUGCGAGAAAGCCACGGCUAACUACGUGCCAGCCGCCGCGGUAA